rnacentral:rRNA from 1 species
CAGCAACGCCGCGUGGAGGGGAUGACAGCCCUUCCGGGUGUAAAACCUCUUUUAGCAGGGAAGAAGCGAAAGUGACGGUACUGCAGAAAAAAGCGCCGGCUAACUACGUGCCAGCAGCCGCGGUAAUACGUAGGGCGCAAGCGUAUCCGGAAUUAUUGGGCGUAAAGAGCUCGUAGGCGGUUUGUCGCGUCUGCUGUGAAAUCCCGAGGCUCAACCUCGGGCCUGCAGUGGGUACGGGCAGACUAGAGUGCGGUAGGGGAGAUUGGAAUUCCUGGUGUAGCGGUGGAAUGCGCAGAUAUCAGGAGGAACACCGAUGGCGAAGGCAGAUCUCUGGGCCGUAACUGACGCUGAGGAGCGAAAGGGUGGGGAGCAAACAGGCUUAGAUACCCUGGUAGUCCACCCCGUAAACGUUGGGAACUAGUUGUGGGGACCAUUCCACGGUUUCCGUGACGCAGCUAACGCAUUAAGUUCCCCGCCUGGGGAGUACGGCCGCAAGGCUAAAACUCAAAGGAAUUGACGGGGACCCGCACAAGCGGCGGAGCAUGCGGAUUAAUUCGAUGCAACGCGAAGAACCUUACCAAGGCUUGACAUAUACGAGAACGGGCCAGAAAUGGUCAACUCUUUGGACACUCGUAAACAGGUGGUGCAUGGUUGUCGUCAGCUCGUGUCGUGAGAUGUUGGGUUAAGUCCCGCAACGAGCGCAACCCUCGUUCUAUGUUGCCAGCACGUAAUGGUGGGAACUCAUGGGAUACUGCCGGGGUCAACUCGGAGGAAGGUGGGGAUGACGUCAAAUCAUCAUGCCCCUUAUGUCUUGGGCUUCACGCAUGCUACAAUGGCCGGUACAAAGGGCUGCAAUACCGUAAGGUGGAGCGAAUCCCAAAAAGCCGGUCCCAGUUCGGAUUGAGGUCUGCAACUCGACCUCAUGAAGUCGGAGUCGCUAGUAAUCGCAGAUCAGCAACGCUGCGGUGAAUACGUUCCCGGGUCUUGUACACACCGCCCGUCAAGUCAUGAAAGUCGGUAACACCUGAAGCCGGUGGCCCAACCCUUGUGGAGGGAGCCGUCGAAGGUGAUUCGGAA